GGCACGUUGGUGCAGUGGCAAGCACUAUUGCCUAUCAGCAAAAAGAUUCUGGGUUUGAUUCCCAGGCCUGUGG